CCUACGGGAGGCAGCAGUGGGGAAUAUUGCACAAUGGGGGAAACCCUGAUGCAGCGACGCCGCGUGAGUGAAGAAGUAAUUCGUUACGUAAAGCUCUAUCAGCAGGGAAGAGAAUGACGGUACCUGAGUAAGAAGCCCCGGCUCACUACGUGCCAGCACCCGCGGUAAUACGCCGGGGGCAAGCGUUAUCCGGAUUUACUGGGGGUAAAGGGAGCGUAGACGGUGCGCCAAGUCUGUAGUGAAAUGCCGCAGCUUAACUGCAGAACUGCGUUGGAAACUGGCGAACUGGAGUUCGGGAGGGGUAGGCGGAAUUCCUAGUGUAGCGGUGAAAUGCGUAGAUAUCAGGAGGAACACCGGUGGCGAAGGCAGCUUACUGGACCGUAACUGACGUUGAGGCUCGAAAGCGUGGGGAGCAAACAGGAUUAGAUACCCGUGUAGUC
rnacentral:rRNA from 1 species